GCGCCGAGAGGUGGCCUCGCCUCCCGUGGCGCUCGGCCGAGGUGGCCUCCGCGUUGCGCCACCGAACGAGCUUGGGAGGCGCCGCGAAGGCACCGCGGGUCCGGGCGCGGCCCGGAAAAGAAGCGAGAAGGGCAGGGGACGGGCGCCGCCGAAGGUCCCGAAGGUAGCCUGCUGAAGCCCAGCAGGGGGCUCGGACGUCGCCCCGCCCCGGAACAUGGACGCAGGCUUCCCGCACCACCUUGGGGCAGACCUCCGCGGCCACCCCGGCCCCAUGUCCACUACCAGAGCAAAGCCCACGACAGUGGCCAGCCUUGCCACUCCCGGGACAGAAGCAGUGCCCCUCGGCCAAUGGCUCGGAGGAGGUUAGGAGCGACCUGCAGAUACCUGAUGGCCUUUGGCAAUUGGGAACUUUAUGGAACCGGGAUCAAGACUCAGGACCCAGGGGGCAGGUCUGAAAUACGGCUGAUUGGGUUUGCUCUUAACAAACAUAUGAUCAUCUCACAGACAUAAUAUCUCAUCCUGUUUUGUUAUCGAAACAUCACCUACGAUUUUGAAGGUGGUUCUCUUCAAAGAAACAACCAGAGAGCUCAGAUGCUAAGGGGAGGAGCCUGUGGGGAGCUAAGUCCUGGAAAGCUGUGUGUGCCUGUGAUCCUGGCUACUCCAUAGGAUGAGGCAGGAAGAUCUGGAAAGUUCAAGGCCAGCUCAAGCACCUUAGCUGGAAGUUCCAGGAGUCCAUAGGAAAGACAAUGGAGACACAUUCACUGAAGAUUGUCGGAGAAUGAAGUAACACGUAGGGAAAGGUCCAUCAUUGUCGAUGGGUGCGAUUUAAAAAACUACGGUGAAUACUGCUGUCUAGGGUCAUCCAACAGGAAGGCAGGCUUGUAAAAAUGUGACGCUGUGUCCUCGUCCUCCUUAUUCACUGGAUCUGGCAUGGAGUGACUUCUGACUCUUCCCCAAAGUCAAAAUGGCCAUGCAAGAUCAACCUUUUGAAUCAAUUCAGGACAUCAAGGCAGCCAUGACUAUGAAACUAAAGACACACACGAAAGUUGACUUCCAGAACUGCUUUAGAAGAUGGCAAGGACAGUGAGGUAAAUGUAUCCAAAGUGAGGAGAAUAUUUUGAAGGGGAUUAAUGGCAAUGUGUCUUGUACUGUAAUUUUUUAAAAAUUUAAAACAUUCACUUUGGUUUUUGAUCUAUCUAUCUAUGUAUAAACACACACACAAAAUCACAUGGCAUCCUGUAAAUACAUAUGAUUUUUGGUGUCAAUUAAAUUUACAAAAUAUUUUCAAUAUAUUGAGUACUUCACACCCACUAAGAUGGCUAAGUUUAAAAAAGAAACAAAAUACAUGUUUGUAAAGACAGGAAGAAAGUGGAACCCUUCUGCAUUAUUUAUAGACUUUUUAAGUGGUUUCUCAAAAAAUUAAAAAUAGAACUGCUGUAAGAUCCAGGAAUCCCACUUCAGGGUACACAUCCAGAAACUUGAAAGCACGGUCUUAAAGGUGUAUUUGCACACCCAUAUUCAUUACUACAUUAUUCACAAUAGGUGGAAACAAGCCAAAUGUCCACUGACAUACGAAUGGGGAAACAAAUAUUAUUCAGCCUUUAAAAAGAAGGAAAAUCUGACUCAUGCUGUAACAUGAAUGAACCUUGAAGACAUGCAGAGUGAAAUAAACCAGACACAAAAAGAUAAACCCUAUGGGAUUCCACUUGUAUGAGGUAUCUAAAGUAGUCAAAGUCAUGGAAACAAAGCAAAAUGGUGAUUCCUCGCUGGAGGUGGGUAUUAGAGAGUGUUCUGCAGUGUAGAGUUUCAGUUUUGCAAAAUAAAAAAGUUUCUGGACCUCUAUUUUGUCACAAUGUGAAUGUGCUUAAUACUACUGAACAGUACACUUAAAAAUGGUAAGACGGUGC
rnacentral:lncRNA from 1 species